rnacentral:rRNA from 1 species
GGGAACCUGCCUCAAAGAGGGGGACAACAGUUGGAAACGACUGCUAAUACCGCAUAAGCCCACGGCUCGGCAUCGAGCAGAGGGAAAAGGAGCAAUCCGCUUUGAGAUGGCCUCGCGUCCGAUUAGCUAGUUGGUGAGGUAACGGCCCACCAAGGCGACGAUCGGUAGCCGGACUGAGAGGUUGAACGGCCACAUUGGGACUGAGACACGGCCCAG